GUGGUGCAAAUGGUUAACACAUUUGGUUGCUAACCAAAAGGUUGGAGGUUCGAGUCCACUC
rnacentral:tRNA from 1 species